rnacentral:lncRNA from 1 species
CUGUAAUGCUGUUGAUGUCUCUGAACUGUCAUGCUCUUAGUGCCUGAUGUUACAUAAGACUAGUAACGUCAUUGUGGCUCUGUCACACUCUCACAACCACUGACUGUCCUUAGGCCUUGUGAUUCCAGACUGGAACCUGUGUGUUGUUUUGGGUAUCACACUACAGGACAGGACAUGAUGUACAGGAGCAUCUCUCAGUCCAGCACAUGGGCACCAGGAGCACAAAGUUCUCCUAGUAGUGAGGUUUGUCCUGGGCCUCGUCCAGACUACCAUGCCUGACCUCCUGGCCAACCUGAGUGUUCCAUGGGGCACACAGGCGAUUGUGAGCCCCAACCUGACAGCAGCUGCCCUGGUUGUGCCGGGGUCAGACAAGACUCUGGCCCCCUUCUGCACCUUCUGCUGCUGUGGCCUGCUGAACCGUACCCUGGCUGUGGUGUUUAUGGUCAGUCUGGCCUUCGCCAUAGUGGUGGGCAACGUGGUCACGCUCACCGUCUUCAUGCAGACAAGACAGGUCCGUACACCACAGGGAUACCUCAAAGUCUCUCUGGCCAUAGCAGACAUGAUGGUUGGAGUGCUGGUGGUUCCUUUCUCUGUCUACACUGAGAUCUCUCUGAUGGUGACCAGUUCCCCUCCUGUCUGGUACCAGGGGGGCACUGACCCCUCCAUGGGGGGCCUGGUGGGCCCCUGGCAGCCCUGCAUGCUGAUUGGUCCAGUCUUCGCUGGCUGUACAUUUGUCUCCAUCAGUACUAUUUUCCUGAUGACGGUAGAGCGCUGUGUGGCCAUCUUAUGGCCCCUUCAUAAGGACCACCUGGUGACACGGAGACGUACCCUGUUUCUCAUCCUCUUCUCCUGGGCAGGCAGUUUCCUCCUGGCCUUGGCCCCCCUCAUCCUCAGCAACAACUUCACACUGGAGUACAGUGAGUGCAGCCGGAUGUGUAACUACGUCCCCCUGUGGGAUGGAGUCACGCUGCCCUCUGAUGCCAACAUCCUCCUGCUGUUCCCUGUGUUUGACUUCACGCUGCUGGGAGGCACCCUGGUAUUCAACAUCCUGUCCUUCACCAGCAUCCGCCGCUACACACGCAAACGUAAACUCAUGUCAGAGGGGAAUGUAGGGGUCGAGGGAGGGGGAGGCGGCUGCCAACAUAGACCCUCCUUCUCUGACAUCAAGGCUGCCAAGACAAUCAGCAUUCUGACGUUUGCCUUCACGGCUUCCUUCACCCCCAUCGCUGUGUUUGUGCUGGGAAACGUGGUGGGCUUCACCUGGUGCAACUUCUCCUUUGUAGCCUUCUGGAUCCUGACUGGGAACAGCUGCUGUAAUGUGAUAAUAUACAGCGUGAGAGACCAGCGCUUCAAGAAAGGAGUGACUCUGCUUUUUCAGAGGGAGCACUCACCUUCCCAUGGGGAGAAAGGCGGAGCUACACCACCCCCACCUACCUUGUGA